rnacentral:rRNA from 1 species
CCUACGGGAGGCAGCAGUGAGGAAUAUUGGUCAAUGGACGAGAGUCUGAACCAGCCAAGUAGCGUGAAGGAUGAAGGUCCUACGGAUUGUAAACUUCUUUUAUAAGGGAAUAAAACCUCCCACGUGUGGGAGCUUGUAUGUACCUUAUGAAUAAGCAUCGGCUAACUCCGUGCCAGCAGCCGCGGUAAUACGGAGGAUGCGAGCGUUAUCCGGAUUUAUUGGGUUUAAAGGGAGCGUAGAUGGAUGUUUAAGUCAGUUGUGAAAGUUUGCGGCUCAACCGUAAAAUUGCAGUUGAUACUGGAUAUCUUGAGUGCAGUUGAGGCAGGCGGAAUUCGUGGUGUAGCGGUGAAAUGCUUAGAUAUCACGAAGAACUCCGAUUGCGAAGGCAGCACACUAAGCCGUAACUGACGUUCAUGCUCGAAAG